rnacentral:rRNA from 1 species
AUUGAACGCUGGCGGCAGGCCUAACACAUGCAAGUCGAGCGAGCGGCGGACGGGGGUGUAAUGUAUGGGGACUGCCCGAUAGAGGGGGAUAAAUACUGGAAACGGUAGCUAAUACAGCACACUAUCGGAUAACCCAUAUGGGAGUAGCUAGUAUGUGAGGUAAUGGCUCACCUAGUCGACGAUCCCUAGCGGGUCUGAGAGGAUGAUCAGCCACACUGGGACUGAGACACGGCCCAGACUCCUACGGAGGCAGCAGUGGGGAAUAUUGCACAAUGGGCGCAAGCCUGAUGCAGCCAGGCCGCGUGUAUGAAGAAGGCCCUAGGGUUGUAAAGUACUUUCAGUCGGGAGGCGUUACCGACAGAAGAAGCACCGGCUAACUCCGUGCCAGCAGCCGCGGUAAUAC